rnacentral:rRNA from 1 species
GCGGUGGGGGGAGCCUACCAUGCAGUCGAGCGGCAGCGGGAAAGUAGCUUGCUACUUUUGCCGGCGAGCGGCGGACGGGUGAGUAAUGCCUGGGGAUCUGCCCAGUCGAGGGGGAUAACUACUGGAAACGGUAGCUAAUACCGCAUACGCCCUACGGGGGAAAGCAGGGGACCUUCGGGCCUUGCGCGAUUGGAUGAACCCAGGUGGGAUUAGCUAGUUGGUGAGGUAAUGGCUCACCAAGGCGACGAUCCCUAGCUGGUCUGAGAGGAUGAUCAGCCACACUGGAACUGAGACACGGUCCAGACUCCUACGGGAGGCAGCAGUGGGGAAUAUUGCACAAUGGGGGAAACCCUGAUGCAGCCAUGCCGCGUGUGUGAAGAAGGCCUUCGGGUUGUAAAGCACUUUCAGCGAGGAGGAAAGGUUGGUAGCUAAUAACUGCCAGCUGUGACGUUACUCGCAGAAGAAGCACCGGCUAACUCCGUGCCAGCAGCCGCGGUAAUACGGAGGGUGCAAGCGU